rnacentral:lncRNA from 1 species
AGAUACGUUAUUCUUUAAGCUCCUUUUCCUUAUCUAAAAACUCUGCUAAAUUCUCCGUUCGAGCACUCCAUUCUUGUUGAGGCAGAGAACUGACUUGAGCGUCGGAGGGUCUUGCCGGAGCAACCCCACCUCCGGUUUAGACUUCCCUUGCAGGUCCCGGCGGCGACUGCGGCUUCCCCGACUCCAGCUUCUCCGACGCAAGCGGAUUUUUGCACCAACA